rnacentral:lncRNA from 1 species
UCGCCGCGCCGUGCCCCCGCCACCCACCUCCCGGCUCGCCGUGCCGCACUCCCGCCUCCCACCUCCAACCUCCUGGAUUGCCGCGCUUACUGCUCGCCGACGCGCCCUAGCCCGCCGAUGCGCCCCUUCCCGGCUCCUAGCUCCACCCUGCCCCAGCAAAUCCUACCCCUAAUCCGUGCACCGGCGAAGCAAGCCACCACAUCUGGCGACGGCUACCAGGCUUUCCCCGUCGCUGAUGCGCGACCAAUCCGCUCCAGGCUCCCCCCGCCGCUCGGCUUUCCGUCCACCAGCCGUCGAUCUGGAACAGGAUGCACCAGGUGCACCACCCCUGCUCGGUCCACCAUUUCUUUAGUUGUUGUUCAACAACAAAAACAGCAGCAGUUCAUGCAUCAGUUGUAUCUUUUUCCUCUGUACAUUUGUUCUCUCAAUAAUGUUGUUUUUCUCCCCGAACUGCAGCACGUGGGAGGUUGGACGGACUGCAAAGUAAUAGCCCGGUUAAUCAUUACCCUUUUUGCAAUAUACCUUUACUAUGUCCCUCAUUUGACAGUUGUCUCUAUGUUGGAUUUAUGUUCUCUACAGAACAAUGGGAUGUAUGCAUAAAACACACCAGCUUACUUCCUUAAGUAAGUCAUCGUGGUGCAUGGAAGUUUGUAGAUCUAAUAAAUGGAAUGCUGAGCAAUGGAUCAUUACUAAACUUGUUUGCGAAGUAGAAAAUGCCUCUAAGAAAACAAACUGAUACAUGCAUACAUCUCUCCUAAGGUAAUCAUCAUGCAUAUAUGAUUUAGAGACAAAUGUAAUGCUAAGCAAUGAUAUUUAUUUGAUUACUAAACCGAACCUGCUUAUGUCCUAAAGAAAAAUGGUUGUCAAGAACCUUAUCAUUCAUGGGUUUUAUAUAGUGUAAAAGUAUAACUCUGGUGUGACUGUGUGCUAGGGAACAAUGAGUUUCAAGUUUUGCUAGCAAAAAAUAUUUUUGGCAGUUCAAUAUAAAAAGUGAAAUCAGUUAGCUGAUGUCAAAAUAAUUCAGUUAUAUAUGUGUACACCACAGUAGCAGUUCGGUACAAAAAAUUACAUCAGUUUGUUAAACAAAAAAUAGAAACACAUUUUCUGGUUUAGCGCCUAUACUAAAAAGCAGCUUGGUAGCUAGUUUUUUUAAGUUCCCUGCGCGAAAUGCAGAAAGUUCGAUUAGAACAAUCGUGGAAGUUGGAAAAUAUAUAAACCCAUGUGGCUGCCCAACAUAUUCUAUGUAAAAAGCAAACACUAUGUAUUCUAUGGGUGCUAGAGAAUCAGCAAAGUUCUAUGCGUGCCCAGAACCUGUUUGCUGUAAUGUUUCUAAGAAACUGGACUUCAUUUAGGUUCUCUUUUUUGGUUGAAUUUAUUUAUUUCACAUGAAAUCAAACCUAGCUAUGUCGUAUUGCUGCAUCUAGCUAUGGAGCAGUACACAUAUUUAAACUUUCAUAUAGUUGCAAAAACAUGAAUUCUCAUUCCCAAAAACCUACAAAAAACAUCAAUUUAUAUUGAUAGUUGUUCUAGUCCUUAUGUCACAACAGUGCAAUGACAACAAACUCAUCAGUUCAAAAUGCUAAUGCUGUAGAGAUCUUGUGAAUUCUGUAGAGGGAGUAACCUAAAAAAAUGAAAUACAUUAGCGUGAACAGCCAGCGGUUCAUCUUCCAAAAUGGAUUUAUAUUAUGUUAAUCACCGGUGUGCUCUUGUUGUCAGUUCGUGUGUGCUCUUGUCAUCAGGUCAUGUGCCAAUUUGUUAUCAGUUUUGUGUGUAUGUGAGUUGGUAAACCAUGUGUGGCUGCUGUAGAAAAAAGGCACGGGGAUGUGCUGCCCUCAGUUCUCUCUCGAUAAAUCUAGCAGUGCAGGUUCUCCGGUGCGCCAAGUAUUGCCAGCGGUGAUGCCUGCAUCAUGGCCCAUUCGAGAGAUGCUACUUUUGUGUAUGCAUAUUUAUCUUUAUUAGUUUUUGUGUUCUCUUGUUUGCCCCAAUUGAUCCUUGUGUUAAUGUUUGUAUAUGUUGUGCGCUUCUGGUCCCAUCAUGAAGUGAAAAAUGACAAGCGAGCUAAGUACUAGUUCGGAAAGUUUGCAAGUUCGAACACAUAAACCUAAAGUUCAUUGAAAAAGUUUGGUUUGCCUGUUCCGUGAAAAUGUCUUGCUAAAGAAAUAUCUCUUAUGCACUUAUUUAUUUGCCUGAAUAUUUGGUUUGAUUCUCAGGUGCGAUAUGGCGGCCACCGACGUUGUUGCUAAAUCCAUCUACAAACUAGUGGAUGGCUGCUCCCAGCGGUAAAUGUGGUCGGGUUCAGCAGCUAGCUCUUCCUCGAGCAACCAUUCUUGUGGUAGUGUAACAAGUCCAGCUCAUCAUCGUCAGUCCAAGGUCAAGUCACUGCCCAAAAAUAAUUUGCUGUCGAGGCCAAACGCCUCGUGCAAAUUAACCCUGAACUAAUGAGUGCAGCGAUGGGCCAUUAUUUUAAUUUCCAGGUGCACGCGACAUCUCUGGUCGCGUGGCCGGCACCAUUAUCUUACAUUUUUGUUUCUGCACUAAGUUUCUUAUGUAUUGUUCACAAAAUUUUAGUGAAAAUUUUACUUCACGUUACCUCGUGAUCUCGCAACUGUAUGUUCACCUGUGAAGGUAUCUCUCAUUGCUUAUUGUUACAUUAUUUCCCAUGGUAAGAAAGGUUCACAUUAAAAGUAACAUCCAUAUAGGAAAAAUGCUUCUAUUCUAACACUUCUUUUUAAAAAAGAGCACUAGUACUAAAGAGUCGUACUGACAAGGAUGCCAUCUACAAUUCUGAUGAGUCGUACUCACAAGGACAUAAUUAUUGUGCAAAUGGAAAAAACAAAUGUUUUAUAAAGAAAUGUGCUUGAAGUUCAAUUACUAUGGUCUAAAAAAUUCAUUUAGAUCGCUAGUGCAUUCAGAAUUGCUAAUUUUAAAAAAAUGAAGUUCCUAUUUUAGGAUUAUGUAAGUUCAAAAUUAUUGUAUGAUGUGUGUGCCAUAGUUAUCUGAACUACAAUUCUGACUAGUAUUCCAUUAUAGUACUGCUGCAUAUUCACUUUUGAUUGCUUCUUGCUGCCCUAUUUUUAUCAUGAUUUUGUGUGUUCACCCAGGAGUGCUUUUGUUUCCAUAGGUCAGCUGCUCAACAACAGAAGCAUGUACCGCCCAGUACAUGUAUUACUAAUGCAAAGGUUAAAAAAAAUCAGAACUCAACAAGUUCAACGUUGAUGGUACUAUGCACAUGCGCUAAGUUGUUCUACAACAUAGGGCUAAGCCGUUCUACGCCGCAGCUUGGGAGGUGCUAGCUUUUCCCCACCUCCCCCUAGACGUUCAUCUCCUUAUCUUGUGUAUAUUCAGUUCAACAUCUGGUGGUUCUUCAGGUCACCUUAGUGUGCAUUUUCUGUUCAUCUUGCAGCUGAAGGAGCUCCCCUUGGGUUCAUCUUGCAAGUUCUGUUCAAACUUGUCCACCUAGGUCAUUCAACAACAACACCAGAGCCCGUUCAGUUGGUGGCAUUCCUGCAGCUGCAGAUGUGGUGCUGACAAUACUAGGCGUUGGCUGUGUUUGAUCAAAUGCCUAGGAGCUCCCAUGAUUUACACAUGGAAUCUAGAUGAUUCCAUUUUUUCAUUCCCCAAGUACUUCAAUGGUGGCUCCUUCCCGCUUGGCUCAAUCGCUGCUGGAUUUAGGUGGGUGUAGGCGUAGGUUUUCAGGAGCAUGGACGGAUACGGGGAAGGUCGCACUGCUCUUGUGUUAUUCUCCAACAAUUGAGAAAUUGAUACUCAUUUUAAUGUGUAAGUUUACAUGCUCACACUUGUUCGUGCCAAUGCCAAAUAGCUUGAGAAUAGCAACCUGUUCGAGCUUAGCUGAGAGGAUUUUGAAUCGUUGUGUGAGGCACUGUGGGCACAGCCUUGAGAUAAUGCAUGUUGCUUUAACAGCUGCGAAUUUGAGAAAAUAUUCAACAUGACUAUGUUUCACAUUUUCGAUA